rnacentral:rRNA from 1 species
CAAUAGCGUAUAUUUAAGUUGUUGCAGUUAAAAAGCUCGUAGUUGGAUUUCGGGUGGGACGCAGCGGUCUCGCAUUGCGUUUGUACUGCUGCAGCCCUCCUUCUUGCCGGGGGCGGCCUCUCGGACUUCACUGUCUGGGGGUCAGAAUCGGCGAUGUUACUUUGAGUAAAUUAGAGUGUUCAAAGCAAGCUUACGCUCUGAAUAUAAUAGCAUGGGAUAACACGACAGGACUCUGGCCUAUCGUGUUGGUCUAUAGGACCAGAGUAACGAUUAAGAGGGACAGUUGGGGCCGUUCAUAUUCCGUAGUCAGAGGUGAAAUUCUUGGAUUUACGGAAGAUGAACUACUGCGAAAGCAUUCGGCAAGGAUGUUUUCGUUAA